rnacentral:sRNA from 1 species
UUCUAUCGUUGACUGCGUUAGGGAUGGCAGCGGUAUCCUUUUGUGAUAGCUGGCAUUUUCUUAAAUCAGUUAAAACUUCUAUCACAAAAGAUUUAGCGUACAGCCCGACCCGAA